UGAGAGGGCAAGGCUACAAAUAGCCCUUGGCCGACACAGCUCCAGGAACCUCGUGGUCACAGGCGCUCAUCACCUCACCAUUACUGCUGCGUUGCAGGCCAGGCAGCUGGGGUAAGUCACUCGUGGUGGAUCCCCAUCCUGCCUGCACCGCUCCUGCGCCAGAGCUGCAACUGCAAGACCGCCCUGCCUGGCUGCUGGCUCACAAAUGUUGUAGCUGCCCCGAGGAAGGAGGUGGAGGUCUUUGCUUCCCACCCUGGCCAUGAGGCUGGGUUCGGUGCGGCUCGCCGAGCACCAUCACUGCCUGCAGCGGCUCGGCCGGCGGAGGAGGACGCGGCCGAGCAGGGCUGCUCGUAGCAAACAGGCUGGUGCCGCUGCUCGCCGGGCACCCAGCGCUGCUCCCCACAACGGCGUUCCUUGUGACUGCUCGCUGCCUCCGCUCAGUCCGUUCCAGAACUGAUGGACUGGGAGAUAUUUGCACCAUCUAAUUUUAAGUAUGUAAUUUCUCUCCUAAAUUACAUGUCUAGACUCCGCUAUAAUCAAUGGUGAGAGGCAGGUUCCUAAUUACAGUGCUCUGAAUCACACCCUAAAAGAUCCCUUGUCUGUGUGGGGAGCAUGGGCAUGCUGUGCAGGUGCUUAAAAUUAGUAUGGCUAUUCCCUGUUGUGUGCUCCGCCUGGUACUGCUUCUGCAAACAAAUAAAGAGCCUCCUCACCUUGCAUAAAUCAAAUGCUUUAGCUGUGCUCUUAAAGGAGAAAUGUUAGUAGUACAAGGGUGGAAAUUAACUGGCGAGUGCAUUUAUUUUUGGCCGGUCUCGUGGGAGCACCUGCCAAGCAUUACCUCUCAUUUCAAGCCUGACUGUUCCUGCUGAGAAAGUCUGAUGAAGCUUCGAGUCUGGGUCAAGGGACAAAAAUUGCUGGCUGAGAGGCUGAGGUCUGAACCCAAAGAAAACACGUCUAAAGAAGCAGUGUAACUACUUUGGCCGAGGUUUCUAUUUUUUCUCGGACUACUCCAGAAGUCUGCAGGAUCCAGAAAGGGCGAAGGAGUGUGAGGUUCAAAACCCUGUGGAAAAGUGAUCGUGUGUCUGGUACUCUUGCUUUGACUCUCCUGUAAAGGGGAAUUCAACAGACCUGAGUCCUGGGCUGCAGAAGAGCAGUGUGUGUGCAUUAAUAACACAGGUGCGAGUGAAAAGAGCGAACCUGCCCAGCAGAAGAGAGCAAACCCUGCCCAGCAGAGCCCUCUGACGCCUUGGACAGGCCUUUGGCUGCUGUGAGGGGAAGAUGAGUGGGAAGAAAUGUGAUUUGCCUGGAGAAUUUGGCCUUGCGGCAGCCCCAUGAGCUGACCAGCUUGCAGUGAUGGGGCGAUGUGGGAGAGGCUGCAGAAAACACCCCAUGUGUUAUCGCUACUCUGAGAGGCUGGCGGACUCCAAAGUGCCACCUGCUUAACUGCAUGCAGAACGCCACAGGCUUCCAUUCAUGUGUCUUUAAGCUGUUGCAUUGCUGGU